CCUCUGGAUCCAGAAGACUUAACCGAACAGAUUCUGGCUGGUUUAAGUGAUGAUUACAAACCGGAGAUCGACGCUAUUAACGGCCGUGACAAUCCAAUCUCCUUUGCUGAACUCCAUGAACGUCUCCUCAAUCGAGA
rfam:Brassica rapa chromosome A7, whole genome shotgun sequence.